GCUAUCUGGUUGAUCCUGCCAGUAGUCAUACGCUCGUCUCAAAGAUUAAGCCAUGCAUGUGUAAGUCUAAAUAGUUUUAGUGUGAAACUGCGAAUGGCUCAUUAUAUCAGUUAUAGUUUAUUUGGAUAAUAAUUCUAUAUGGAUAACCGUAGUAAUUCUAGGGCUAAUACAUGAUUUAUUCUCUUUUGAGAAUUCUUUAUUAGGAUAAAAACCAAUAUUUGUAGUGAGUAAUAAUAAUGUAGUAUAUCGCAUGCUUUUGUAGCGAUAAUCCUUUCAUGUUUCUGCCCUAUCAGCUUUCGAUGGUAGUGUAUUGGACUACCAUGGCAGUAACGGGUAACGAAGAAUUUUGGGUUCGAUUUCGGAGAGGGAGCCUGAGAGAUGGCUACCACAUCCAAGGAAGGCAGCAGGCGCGUAAAUUACCCAAUCCUGACAGAGGGAGGUAGUGACAAUAAAUCACAAUGCGGAACCUUUGGUUUUGCAAUUGGAUUGAGAAGAACGUACAAUCGAUAUCGAUAAACAAUUGGAGGGCAAGUCUGGUGCCACCAGCCGCGGUAAUUCCAGCUCCAAUAGCGUAUAUGAACGUUGUUGCACAGCACAAGCUCAGUAUAUUCUGCGUGGCUCCACACAGAUAUGCUCA
rnacentral:rRNA from 1 species